CAUUCGGAGUGGCGGACGGGUGAGUAACGCGUGGGUAACCUGGCCUUACACAGGGGGAUAACACCUGGAAACAGGUGCUAAUACCGCAUAAGCGCACAGGGCCGCAUGGCCCGGUAGUGAAAAACUCCGGUGGUGUAAGAUGGACCCGCGUCUGAUUAGCUUGUUGGGCGGGGUAGGGGCCCACCAAGGCGACGAUCAGUAGCCGGCCUGAGAGGGUGGACGGCCACAUUGGGACUGAGACACGGCCCAAACUCCUACGGAAGGCAGCAG
rnacentral:rRNA from 1 species